rnacentral:rRNA from 1 species
UACGUAGGGUGCGAGCGUUGUCCGGAUUUACUGGGCGUAAAGGGCGUGCAGGCGGUUUGUUAAGUGCAGGGUGAAAGCUCCCGGCUCAACUGGGAGAGGUCCUUGCAUACUGGCAAACUCGAGGGAGGCAGAGGAAAGUGGAAUUCCCGGUGUAGUGGUGAUAUGCGUAGAUAUCGGGAGGAACACCUGUGGCGAAGGCGGCUUCCUGGAUCGACACUGACGCUGAGGCGCGAAAGCCAGGGGAGCAAACGGG